GGCUUGGGCGGAUAUAAACCGAGCUUAUCGGAUAUUGAGACCCGGUGGAGUAAUUUUUGGGCACGAUUAUUUCACCGGUGCUGAUAAUAGAGGCGUAAGAAGAGCUGUUAACUUGUUUGCUCAAAUGAAUGGGCUUCAAAUUCAAACGGAUGGCCAACAUUGGGUGAUCGAUUCUCCUUCUAGUCCUAUAUCCUAAUUAGGGACUGGUGUUACCGCUGUCAAUUGAGUAAAUUUUACCAGUCAUGUGCAGUACGUCGAGGAAGAAGACCAUAG
rnacentral:misc_RNA from 1 species